GAUUAACGCUGGCGGCGUGCCUAACACAUGCAAGUCGAGCGGCAGCGAGUUUUACACUGAAUUCUGGAAGCUUCUAGUUGAAAGAGAAGAUUUAUUCAAGAAUUUUGUGUAAAAUGUCGGCGAGCGGCGGACGGCUGAGUAACGCGUGGGAACGUACCCCAAAGUGAGGGAUAACGCAUCGAAAGGUGUGCUAAUACCGCAUAUGGUCUUCGGAUUAAAGCCUUCGGGCGCUUUGGGAACGGCCUGCGUAAGAUUAGAUAGUUGGUGGGGUAAUGGCCUACCAAGUCGACGAUCUUUAACUGGUUUGAGAGGAUGAUCAGUCAGACUGGAACUGAGACACGGUCCAGACUCCUACGGGAGGCAGCAGUGAGGAAUCUUCCACAAUGGGCGAAAGCCUGAUGGAGCAACGCCGCGUGCAGGAUGAAGGCCUUCGGGUUGUAAACUGCUUUUAUAAGUGAGGAUUAUGACAGUAAUUUAUGAAUAAGGAUCGGCUAACUACGUG
rnacentral:rRNA from 1 species